rnacentral:lncRNA from 1 species
AAGAACCAUGUGUGGCCAGAAAUAGGAAGUGAUCCUGGGCCUCUGUCCCCUCAUCCAACUCCUUCUGUGCCGCCAUGGCCUGUUGGGUGCUGCCUGUGGAGCACAGGACUGCAAUGUCAGACGUGGAUACAGCACAGCUCUGGUAAUUAAGAAUGGCAUUCCUGCUAGAGCUCUUGUAACUGAGAAGUACUUCAGAGGAGCUAAAAAUCAGACCGAAGCUGUUCCGUUGUUUUUCUUCUUAUGUUGGUGCUGAAAAUCUGGCAAGUCAUUAAAGUAAAUAUUUUCUCAGACUGGAAUAAAUUCACACUGGAUUCAUGUGAA